rnacentral:rRNA from 1 species
AGUGAACGUUGGCGGUAGGCCUAACACAUGCAAGUCGAACGGCAGCACAGUAAGAGCUUGCUCUUACGGGUGGCGAGUGGCGGACGGGUGAGGAAUACAUCGGAAUCUACUUUUUCGUGGGGGAUAACGUAGGGAAACUUACGCUAAUACCGCAUACGACCUACGGGUGAAAGCAGGGGAUCUUCGGACCUUGCGCGAUUGAAUGAGCCGAUGUCGGAUUAGCUAGUUGGCGGGGUAAAGGCCCACCAAGGCGACGAUCCGUAGCUGGUCUGAGAGGAUGAUAGGCCACACUGGAACUUAGACACGGUCCAGACUCCUACGGGAGGCAGCAGUGGGGAAUAUUGGACAAAGGGCGCAAGCCUGAUCCAGCCAUACCGCGUGGGUGAAGAAGGCCUUCGGGUUGUAAAGCCCUUUUGUUGGGAAAGAAAAGCAGCAGGUUAAUACCCCGCUGUUCUGACGGUACCCAAAGAAUAAGCACCGGCUAACUUCGUG